rnacentral:misc_RNA from 1 species
AAGUCGUAACAAGGUCUCCGUUGGUGAACCAGCGGAGGGAUCAUUACCGAGUUUACAAACUCCCAAACCCCAUGUGAACUUACCACUCUGUUGCCUCGGCGGGAUCGCCCCGGGAGAGCGGCCCCCUCAGCGGCCAGCACCGGACCCAGGCGCCCGCCGGCGGAACCCAAAACUCUUUUGUUUUUUUUACAACUGUAUCUCUGAUCAGGCCUUCGCGGCCGAAAAACACAAUGAAUCAAAACUUUCAACAACGGAUCUCUUGGUUCUG